rnacentral:rRNA from 1 species
CCUACGGGAGGCAGCAGUGAGGAAUAUUGGUCAAUGGACGCAAGUCUGAACCAGCCACGCCACGUGCAGGAAGACGGCCCUAUGAGUUGUAAACUGCUUUUGUACGAGGGUAAACGCAGAUACGCGUAUCUGUCUGAAAGUAAUGUACGAGUAAGGAUCGGCACACUCCGUUCCAGGAGCCGCGGUACUACGGAGGAUUCAAGCGUUAUCCGGAUUUAUUGGGUUUAACGGGUGCGUAGGCGGUCGGAUAAGUUAGAGGUGAAAUCCCGAGGCUCAACUGCGGAAGUGCAUCUGAUACUGUUCGGCUAGAGAGUAGUUGCGGUAGGCGGAAUGUAUGGUGUAGCGGUGAAAUGCUUAGAGAUCAUACAGAACACCGAUUGCGAAGGCAGCUUACCAAGCUACUUCUGACGUUGAGGCACGAAAGCGUGGGGAGCAAACAGGAUUAGAUACCCUUGUAGUC